rnacentral:rRNA from 1 species
UACGUAGGUGACCAGCGUUGUCCGGAUUUACUGGGCGUAAAGAGCGCGCAGGCGGUCGUUCAAGUCGAGUGUGAAAGCCCCCGGCUCAACUGGGGAGGGUCACUCGAUACUGAUCGACUUGAAGGCAGGAGAGGGAAGCGGAAUUCCCGGUGUAGUGGUGAAAUGCGUAGAUAUCGGGAGGAACACCGAUGGCGAAGGCAGAUCUCUGGGCCGUAACUGACGCUGAGGAGCGAAAGCAUGGGGAGCGAACAGG